rnacentral:rRNA from 1 species
UCGGGGCCGCACGCGCGCCACAUUGAAGGGAUCAGCGUGUGCUUUCCCGCCCCGACAGGGGUGGGUAACCCGGUGAACCCCCUUCGUGCUGGGGAUUGGUUUUUGGAAUUGUCGGCCAUGAACGAGGAAUGCCCAGUAAGCGCGGGUCACUACCCCGUGCUGAUUACGUCCCUGCCCUUUGUGCACACCGCCCGUCGCUGCUACCGAUGAAUGAUUUAGUGAGGUCCUUGGACUGGCGCUCGGACUGGCCUCCGGGCCGGGCCGCCGUGCCGGAAAGAAGUCCAAACUUGAUUAUUUAGAGGAAGCAAAAGUCGUAACAAGGUCUCC